CCUGGUGAUUAUAGCGAGAGUGUCACACCCGACCCCAUACCGAACUCGGCAGUUAAGACUCUCAGCGCUGAUGGUACUUUGUCUUAAGACAUGGGAGAGUAAGUCGUUGCCAGGC
rnacentral:rRNA from 1 species